rnacentral:lncRNA from 1 species
UCCUGAAAGGUACAAGUAAACAAUCAACAUAAAACAAUCACAACUUAGACCUAUGCAACCCUUCAAAGGUUGAUAAAUAUAAGAACCAAAUAAUUAUACUGGUGAUUGAUAAUGCACACGAAUGAAUUAAUGCAAGAUAAAUUGAUAAUACAAUUUCCAAUAUAAGUGCCAAAAUGAACCAAGUGUAGACACCUCCUCUAGCUUAGUAGCUGACAAAGGCAGGACCUAUGAUGACUAUUGUAAUGACCCUUUAGAUCAUUUUCUAUAUUUUUUUCUCACUUCGACCAUUUAGAGCAUUCUUAUAGAUGACAUUAGUCAUUUAUGACUUAUAAGAGAUGGCAGUUCAAUUAUCAGGCAAUUCGUUUAGUUUUAGAGUCAAUUUCUCAUUUUAAAGUCUUUGCUGGUAAGAUUUGGAUAUUGGGAAUAAUCUUUAGUCAAACAACCUCGUAUGCCAAGCUUGAAAAUUCCAAUAACUCUAGAACAUUGAUUUCAGUCUAGCUAGACCUUUGGUUUGGGUGCCAAGGCUUUCAGACACAUUCAAGCUAUUGACCUGAAAAUAAGGAAAAGCCACUUGGGUAUGGGAUCCACUUUUCAUUGAAACAAUCUUGAAUGGAAUUUUUGACCAUAUCAUUAAGUUUGAAACAUCGAACUUGAUAGUAGCAUAGUUCAUCUGAUAAAUGAUGCACUCAGCUAGUGUAGUAGACUUACAAGUCUCCAGAUGAUGCACUCAACUGGUGCAUCUACUAAAGCGACCCUUUAGAUGCUUUAAUGGCUAUCUGGUCACUUUAGCAGCCAGACAUGACCCAACGAGCCGCUUUAGUAGAAAGUUGACUGCUAAAGCACAAGCCACUUUAGCACAACUUGUUUUCUUUAGUAGUAUAUCUUGCAUAAGUGAGUACCUCUUUAGUAGCACCUGGGUGCUUUAGCACUGACUGUUAAAAUAGCUCGGUACCUGCUUUAGCGGUACCCAAUAGCCAUCAAACUCUCUAUUUUUCUAUUUUUUCUCUAAUUUUUACAUAAGUUCAAGAGUGUAAAAUCGAAAAAAUAUGAAAUCUUGGGAGAAACAUUAAUAGGUUAUUUUAGGUUGUUCAUAAGCUUUAAUUAUGCAUUUUCUCCAAAUUCUUGGUAAGUUUUCAAUGAAUUCACACUCCUAAAUUCUUUCCCGCACAUUGGUGGCUUCAAGGAAUUGAAUCCCUCAUCAUUUCCUAUAAAUACUACCACUAUUUUGGUAUAAAGACCAAGUUUCAAAGAGUUGAAAAUUUUUUUUUGAGCAAAGAGUUGGUUAUUUAUUAGUAAAGAUUUUUAGAAAAGCCACCAGCUAAUUGGAGUUCGCAAAAGAUUGAUUUUUUGGUGGUGUCCAAACUUCGAUGAAAGCUCGACAUCCCAUUUUGCUGCUCCAAAAAAGGUAAGUACACCUUGCCUUUCUAGUUUGUUAUUAUUUUUCUUCUUUACCCUCUUCUUCGCAGUUUUGUAAUCAUAAUCAUAGUUGUUGUGAUUAUUUGUUGUAGAAAGCCUCAAAGGCCAUAGGAUUUUGGUUAUAGCUUUGUUGUUUUGCUCUCUUGGUUUUGUUGAAAUUUCAAGUUGUUGAAUUUUACUCUGUUAUGGAAAAAUUUUGGAAUAGUAAAUUUGCUAUCUUUUUGUUUAUUGGGUUGAUAAUUAGUUGUAGUUUUUGGUUGCAUUGAUUGCAAAUUAAGUUAUUUAGUGAUGAGUUUGUUGCCUCUACUCUUUGAUUUUGUUAAAAUAGCACUGUUUUGAGAUUUUUUUUUCAAACAUUUCUUUAUUUUUUGUAUAGUUGUAAAUUUGCUAUCAUUUUGGUUUAUUCGGUUGAGAAAAAAAGUGGAAAUUUGUUGUUCCAUUGAUUGAAUACUGAUUUUGUUGUUUUUGCUAUUUUUUUUAUGUUAAAAUUGUAAAGUUGUUAAGUGUUUGUGCUGCCCUAAAGAAAUUUUCAUUCUGUGUUGAAGCAUUUUUAUGGAGGGUUUGUUGUUUUCCAUUAGUUUCUUUGUGAAAUACGUGGAACGAAAGGUUUGGAAUGAUUGUUUAAGUAAUGAAACAUAUUUAGUCCCUUGCAUAAAAUCUGUGCUAUGAGGUUCGCCUUUGAUUAUGUCUAUAUUCUUGUGUUUGCCAUAUUAAAGUUAGUUUCCACAUUUUGACAAUGUUUCCUUUAGACAUGAGAAUUUCGUUAAAAAUAACCUAUGGUAGUCUUAAGUUAUCUCUCUAGAUGAUAAUCACACGUUUAUUUUAAUUUUCUUCAACAAUACUUUUCAAAUUAAAUUAGAUAUUGCCAUAUGGGUGUUCCCUAUUUCAUGUUCUAGAAUCUAGGAUGCUUUCCUCCCAUAUUAGUUUUCCUUAUUCAAGAAUGUUGUUGUCAUAGAGAUGUUAGUUGAUCAAAAGAUCCUCUUAUUGUAGUUUCAAGUGACAAUUGGAGUAGGUUCUUUUGCUUUACUGGAAUUGUCAUGCUAAGAUUAGUUAAAUAAAUAAUAAUCUUUAUAUUCCUUUAUUACAUGAACUUUCUCCGAAUGAUCCCAAUGAGGACUUCUAUCUAUAAAUCUUAUAAUUUUGAAUUUUUCUUUCUUUGUUUAUAAGUCUAUUUGUUCUUUGGUUUAUUUGUGUUCUUAUAUAUUACUUGCCCUUUCUUAUUUGCCUUGCCAUUAAAUUUUUCUUAAGUCGCUCGCUUUACAUUUUUAAUUUAUUAAACCUUUCUAUAGCCUUAAAAUAUAAUUGUUUAACUUUGUUUGUUUGAAAUCAUGAGAUUCUUCUUUAUUUUUAUCUUACCCCUUCUUUUAAUUUGGAUUUCUUGGAUUAUCUGAUCUCUUCAAUUUUGUGAAUUAUUUUUCCUUCUACAUUUGUGCUUGAAUAUCCUUUAUAGUAUCUUGAAUCCUCUAUCAUAAUUUAGACCAUGUAUUAAUUUCUAUUAUAUAUUUUUUUUUCAUGAAUCUACCUUAGAGUCUAAAUGAACUCUUUUCCAUUUACAGUUUCAUAAUGGGACAAUGAGGCCCAUCUUUCAAGAAAAUUCCAAAAGAAAUCCCAAAAGCCAAUUGUAUGACAUACCGAUGCAAGAAGAUGGAAGAAGGAAAAAUGGGUCCAAAUCUAUUGUUGAAGUCACUAAGAGGCUUAAAAGUUUUAAUUUUAUUAUUUUUUAUUAUUUUUAUUUAUUUAUCUAUUUAUUAUUCAUUCAUUUGGGUCUCAAAUCUAAAGUUGUAGUUUAAUACAGUUGAAGCAAAUUUUUGGGCCUUCAAUGUCCAAAAACUAGUUUCAGACAGGUGCAAGUGGACCAAAUGCCCAAAUGGAUAGUUUAAGACAAAUGAUGGGCCGAAACCCUAAUUAGUUUAGGGCAGGUCUCAUGAAUUUGGGCCUAAGAGCCUAAAUCUCUUAAUUUUUCCCUUUACCUCUUUAUAUGUUUAUGUGCUAUUUAUUCCUUCACACUUACUUAAAUUCCCUACUAAGUCGUCAAGAAAUUGAUUUUGCACAAACCUCAAAAUAACUUUUUCUUUAAUCGAUUUCUUUCUAAAAAAUCAACUUUCUUUUUUAAAGUUAGUCAAAAGUUAUUUUCAAAUAGUCCGAGUAACCGUAAGUUAAAAGAUACUCUUGGUGCCUUAACAAUUUUUCAAGAGUAAUAGAAACCAUUUUCUCGGAAUCUUCAAACUUACAAGAUUUUUCUUGUUUUGAAUAUUUUAAGUAAAUUUUCAAUGGUUUUCUUAAUUUUUCUAAAUAAAUUAAGUGGUGAAUUUUAAAAAAAAUUGAGUUUGAAUUUUUUUUCAAGAGUAUUCGAAUUCAUAAAAAGUCGCAAAAGUCAUUUCUCCACAAAACAAACUCCUCUAUCCUACCUAAGGACCACGUGGAUGGAACUCAUUCUACUUAUGAAGUAUAUACUUGUUUCACGAUCCCUGCUCUUGAAUACCCUCAUGGAUUUCAACCGGUUCCUACCAAUCCCCCUUGUGAUUCAUGGGCUGAUGAUGUUCAUGCCUCAAUGUCCCAAGGAGACAUUUUUAGUGCUGAUUUCCAUCGAUCUAUUUAUCUGCUAACUUAGUUUGUGACUUCUCAGUCAUGUAAACCUUACCAUGUUGGUUCUGUUGCUCCACCUUCUGAGGUUGCUAGAGUUGGCUGGUUUAUUAGAUUGAAUCCUCCAAUCUUCACUGGCUUUAAGAUUAAGGAGGAUCCUCAAGUGUUUAUUGAUAAAAUGGAGAAGAUAUUCAGGGUGAUGUAUGCUACUGAUAUAUUGGGUGUAAAGUUUAAAGAAUAUCAAUUAAAGUAUGUGUCAUAUCAGUGGUGUGAGUAGUGGGAGCAAUCGAAGGGUGAUGAUGUUGAGCAAGCUAUGUGGGAGGAAUUUUCUAGUGUCUUCCUUGAUCGUUUCUAUCCUUAGGAGUUAAGGAAGGCUAAAACUAAGAAAUUUGUGAACUUGAAGAAGGGAAUGAUGGCUGAGAAGGAGUAUGCUUUAAAGUUCUAUCAAUUUUCACGUUACGCUAUGGAGUUGGUGUCUAGCAUGAGGGCUAUAAAAAAUAAGUUUUCUUCGGGUUUGUCUCAUGACAUGGUUUUGGAAUGCAAGGAUGCUAUGCUGAACAAUGAUAUAGACAUCUCUAGGUGGUGUUCUAUAUGUAGCAGGUUGAAAAUGAAAAGAAGAAACAUACAGAAUGACAGAAAAGCAGAGUAAGAAGUUUAGAUAUUAAGAGCAGGGUGGAGGUUAGCAAAAUAAUGAUAGAGAUGGUAGGCAGUGGGGUAAGAAGAGGACUUGGGGAAACUCGGGUUCAUAAUUUUCUACUAGUUCUCUAUAUUCUAAGUCAUCUGGUGAUCGUUAUUUUCAGAAUAAUAGUGGUUUUAAAGCCCUAAGUGCCUAAUCUCAGGCUUGUGAAGCUCAUUCAUUUGACUACAUACUGUUGAAUGAUUUAGUCGCACACUUGAAAGAUAGCCCAUAAAGUCACGGGAAUGGUUGGAUAAUUGGUUUAUAUGGAUCCUUCCUGUAUGAAAGCACAGAUAAAAAUGACAUUUUCAAAAAUUGACAAGAUAAAAUUUCCAUUUAUUCAUCAAAAGAAACGUCCCGUUUGAAGCUAGAAUUGAUUUUCCUUGAUACCUAACAUAAUGGAUGAAAGGAUCCUUGAAUAACCAUAAGGUAACCUGAAAAUCCUUAGCAAAGACUUCUACAAGACGUUUUAUUUUUCCAUAGAAAUAUAUUCAUUCAAGAAGGGCUCCAAAAGAUGUUGAUCAUAAUUGAAAAGAUUGGUUCCGUAGAAAGACGAAAGUGGAUUCGUAUUCAUAUACAUAAAAAUUAUAUAAAAAGAAGAAGAAUCUUUGAUUUUUUUUGAAAAGGAGUAAAUGGGAUUCUUUGAAGUAAUAAGACUAUUCAAAUUCUAAUAUUCGUGGAGAAAGAAUCAUAAUAAAUGUAAAGAAGAGGCAUCUUUUACCCAAUAGCGAAGAGUUUGAACCAAGAUUUCCAGAUGAACGGGGUAGGGUAUUAGUAUAUCUAAUACAUAAUUUAAAUGUGAAAAAUUGUCCUCUAAAAAAGAAAAUGUUGAAUGAAUUGAUCGUAAAUUAUAAGAGUUUAAAAUCUUUUUGCCUUUGAAAAAAGAUAAAGAAGAUAUUAAUCGUAGAGAAAACAGAAUUUCCAUAAUAAAUACAAAUCCCUCUGAUAUCAUUUGAGAAUACAAACUCUUGUUGCACUCCAAAAAUGGAUUUUUGUUAGAAUCAUUAGUAGAAAUAAGAAAAUGAUUCUGUUGAUACAUUCGAGUAAUUAAACGUUUCACAAUUAGGAAACUAAAUUUAUUGUUAUAACCCGGAUUUUCCAACAAAAUUGACCUAUUUCUAUUUAAACCAUGAUCAUGAGCAAGUGCAUAAAUAUACUCCUGAAAGAUAAGUGGAUAUAGGAAGUUGUGUUGUUAAGUUGUGUUGUUUCGAGCUAUCUAGUUAUAAAUAUCUUUGGAUUUCUUCCAUUUGAAAUUCGAUUUGAACCAAAGAUGGAAGAUUUUCAGGGUUAUUAAAUGAUACAUAGUGCGAUACAGUUAAAACAAAGCAUUAUAGUAUUAAUGGAUACCUUGGAUACAGGUAAACUUCUCAACGGAUUCUCUAUCAUUUCUUUUUUUUUUUUGGUUUCAGUUAAUUGGUCUAUGUUAUAGUAUUAUAGGAUAAUAAGAUGGUUAGAAAUCCUUUAUUUUUUCAACCUAAUCGCUCUUUUGACUUCGGAAAAAACUUUCUUUAUCAAUAUACUGUUUCUUCUACACACACAUCUCCAUAAUCGAAAAUGUUAAUAGUUAGGAUUCAUUAAAAUAAUCGAGAAUCCACUCAUGGGACAAGAAACCCUUCCCGCAUCAGGAACUAAUAAAUUUUUAACGUCUAAUUAGAUCAGGAAUCAUUCAAAUUAAGAACAAAAGCUUGUUGAUUUUUAUUUCCCUAUAAUUUAAUUGAAGCCACAGCUCUAUCCAUUUAUUCAUUCGACCCAACUUUAUUUUGUUCCGUUCCAAGAAUUCUAACAUAGUUUUAUGCCCAUCUAGGAACAAUGAAAUAUUUUCAAAACUUUCUGUUGAUACGACAUGCUAUUUUUACCAUUCAUUCCCUUUCAGGAUCAGUUGUGGUCUUCCAAACUUUACCGAGAGUAUGGACGAAUCCCUCACUUCAUCCAUAUGUGAAAAAGACACUAGCCGCACUUAAAAGCCGAGUACUCUACCGUUGAGUUAGCAACCCGAAGAAAAUAUCGAAAAAAUGGUGUAGAUCCAAUCCGAAGAAAAAGAAAUAAAGAGAUUAGACAAGACAACCCAAAACCAUUGAAAGAAGAAAUCUAAAAAAAUAAAUUCACACUUUCUAAUUAAUUUAAAAGAUAAAAUAAAACUAAAUAGAUCCACUUCAUUUAUCAAUUUAUCACAAUGAAUUAUAUUUGUUCGAUACACUGUUGUCAAUAUAAAUAUUGAAAAAAAAAACAAAAGAAAUUUCAAUUGAAAACAAUAAAAAAAAAGGACUUGUGUUGGAUUGGCACUACAAAUAUAAUCCAAACCAAAUAAAAUCGAUAGAAAAAAGUAUAGAUGAGAGAAUAAAUAAAGAAUAAGUGGAAAACAAAACUACAAUUUACUUAGAUUUAUUGAAUCCAUAAUGGAUUCAAUCAAGUUAAGUGAUAAAAGAAAACUUUAUUUCUUUGUUAGCUUUAGUAGAGUUCCAAUGAAAAACGGAAAACCAACCGAAAUGCCUGAAUUUAUUAUUUUUAAGAUCAAUAAAAUAAUAGGUUUUGUCGUUAUAGAACAUGGAAUUCGAUGGAAGCAAUGAUAAAUAAAUACAAA